GACCCGAAAGGGCGGCCGGGGGUGGGGCCGGCGUGCAGAGACAUGCCCGUACGGGACACGGCGAUACAGUUUAAAGGGGCCAAACGAUGAGACAACAGCGGGCAGGGGACCAACGGCGGGGGGGAAGCACUGACGGAGACGAGAGGGAGUGUCAACUGCGGGGGGACCAGAGGAGAGGGGAGCUGCGGCAACGCCUACGGGUCGUUCGUUUGCAUACUUUUUACGUUGUUCCACAGCUGCUGCUCUGAAUAGAUGCUCUUGUAUUCCCACACUGAUUGUUUACUCUCAAGAAGAGGAUGCUCAGGACACACUGCACCACACUCUACAGGCUCCCUGAAGUUAGGUUGUGAUGAGGAGGGCUUUGGCCUCUGCUACCAGGAAACAAACAGUAAUACAGGAAACAGCCACAAAUUUCACCAUGUCAGAUUUCAUUAUGCCUAAGUAAAAAUGUAUUCUGUCACAGAGCAGUCAUGCACAGGAA